rnacentral:rRNA from 1 species
GUUUGAUCCUGGGUUCAGGGAUGAACGCUGGGGGGCGUGCCUACCACAUGCAAGUCGAGCGAUCUCUUCGGAAGAGAGCGGGCGGACGGGUGAGUAACGCGUGGGUAACCUGCCUCAUACACAUGGAUAACAUACCGAAAGGUAUGCUAAUACAAGAUGAUAUAAGAGAUUCGCAUGGAUUUCUUAUCAAAGCUCCGGCGGUAUGAGAUGGACCCGCGUCUGAUUAGCUAGUUGGUAAGGUAACGGCUUACCAAGGCGACGAUCAGUAGCCGACCUGAGAGGGUGAUCGGCCACAUUGGAACUGAGACACGGUCCAAACUCCUACGGGAGGCAGCAGUGGGGAAUAUUGCACAAUGGGCGCAAGCCUGAUGCAGCGACGCCGCGUGGGGGAUGAAGGCCUUCGGGUUGUAAACUCCUUUCGCUAUCGACGAAGCCACUUUGUGGUGACGGUAGGUAGAUAAGAAGCACCGGCUAACUACGUGCCAGCAGCCGCGGUAAUACGUAGGGUGCAAGCGUUGUCCGGAAUUACUGGGCGUAAAGAGCUCGUAGGUGGUUUGUCGCGUCGUCUGUGAAAUCCCGGGGCUUAACUUCGGGCGUGCAGGCGAUACGGGCAUAACUUGAGUGCUGUAGGGGAGACUGGAAUUCCUGGUGUAGCGGUGAAAUGCGCAGAUAUCAGGAGGAACACCGAUGGCGAAGGCAGGUCUCUGGGCAGUUACUGACGCUGAGGAGCGAAAGCAUGGGUAGCGAACAGGAUUAGAUACCCUGGUAGUCCAUGCCGUAAACGGUGGGCGCUAGGUGUAGGGGGCUUCCACGUCUUCUGUGCCGUAGCUAACGCAUNAAG